UACGGUGGCCGAGAACCGCCACUGCUGCAAAUAAAACAGUUCUUUUUUUUUUUUUUUUUUCAGCAGUGGCGGUUCCCAGCCAUUGUA